AGCGAACGCUGGCGGCAGGCCUAACACAUGCAAGUCGAACGAACCUUUCGGGGUUAGUGGCGGACGGGUGAGUAACACGUGGGAACGUGCCUUUAGGUUCGGAAUAACUCAGGGAAACUUGUGCUAAUACCGAAUGUGCCCUUCGGGGGAAAGAUUUAUCGCCCUUAGAGCGGCCCGCGUCUGAUUAGCUAGUUGGUUGAGGUAAUGGCUCACCAAGGCGACGAUCAGUAGCUGGUCUGAGAGGAUGAUCAGCCACAUUGGGACUGAGACACGGCCCAAACUCCUACGGGAGGCAGCAGUGGGGAAUCUUGCGCAAUGGGCGAAAGCCUGACGCAGCCAUGCCGCGUGAAUGAUGAAGGUCUUAGGAUUGUAAAAUUCUUUCACCGGGGACGAUAAUGACGGUACCCGGAGAAGAAGCCCCGGCUAACUUCGUG
rnacentral:rRNA from 1 species